rnacentral:rRNA from 1 species
AGCAGCCGCGGUAAUUCCAGCUCCAAUAGCGUAUAUUAAAGUUGUUGCAGUUAAAAAGCUCGUAGUUGAAUUUUGGGAUUGGGAGAUUGGUCCGUUCUUGUAACGAGUACUGGUCUCUUGAUCCUCACCGCUUGGUGAUGCGUAAUGUCCUUUAUUGGGUGUUGCGAGUAGCCAAGACCUUUACCUUGAAAAAUUAGAGUGUUUAAAGCAGGCUUAUGCCGGAAUACAUUAGCAUGGAAUAAUAGAAUAGGACAAUGAUUCUAUUUUGUUGGUUUCUAGGACCGUUGUAAUGAUUAAUAGGGAUAGUUGGGGGCAUUAGUAUUCAAUUGUCAGAGGUGAAAUUCUUGGAUUUAUUGAAGACUAACUACUGCGAAAGCAUUUGCCAAGGAUGUUUUCAUUAAUCAAGAACGAAAGUUAGGGGAUCGAAGACGAUCAGAUACCGUCGUAGUC